CUGGGAAUUGAACUCAGGACCUUUGGAAGACCAGGCAAUGCUCUUAACCUCUGAGCCAUCUCUCCAGCCCCCACCCUUACUUUCAAAUGUUCUCAAUACAAAAUGUAUACUUUUAAAACUUUUAAGAAAACUUAUGAAAAAUCAGAAAAGGAUAAAUGUUAAUGUAGAUUUCAUAGGGUUUUGUUGAAGUUUUCAUUUGCUUUGAUGGGAUAGCUUUGGAUGGGUUUAAGAUUGAGAUUAGUAAGACAAAAUUAAGAGAUACCUGCCUGCACUGUAUUUUGAGUCUUCAGAUCACCAGAUCUGGUCUUCUGUUUUUUAUAAAUUGUCCCCACUUCCAACUGGCCAGUGAUUUGAUAAAUUUCUUUGUCCAAUAAUGUAAACUGAUGGCUAAAAGGGCAUAUUUACGUCACUAUAACGUUAGAGCUAGGACUUACCAAGAGCUUACUGUGUGCCAGGCAUCAUACUAAGUGUUUCCAUAUAUAUAAAUGUCCCUCACCACACUGUGAGGUAAGUAUUAAUAACCUCUUACAGAUGAUAAACAGAGACACAAAGAAGUAAAAUAAUUUAUUAGGAUUAAAACUAGAAUUAGCUAAGAUCAAACCACAAAAACUUGGUAGUUUGAACCCAGAACUAGUGCACCUUAACACUACCUAUGCUGUGAGUGUUAGAAAGGCUUCUCUGUUUACAGCCUUCAUUCAAGGUCUUUUGAUUACACACAAUUUCAACAUGUUUUCCAAGCUAAAGAACUUCACUAAAAGCAUCUAAAACAGUGACUUUUUCUCACAUUAUAUUGAUAAUCUAAUGUAUUCUGACAGCUGAAAUAACCGAGGUGUACAUUUUCUGGAGGCCUCAGCUUGUGACUGUGCAGCCCUCCAAAUCCAGGAAACAACGUUAUCUACUUUUGUCUCGCCAGGUGCUCCAAUUAUGGAGCUUCUGGCCCUAGUGUCACUUUAGCACAUGCCGGGGAGCACACAACAGAAUAGACCUGCGCAUCAGUCAGAUGGCAGGCACGGUCUCUUGAUGUCUGGGAUUUUCUCCGGUUGUUCUGUGGUGUUAGAAACUAGCUAAUUUUUCUAAAAGAGUCAAAGCGGGAAUCCGUACAUCAGGAGUGGUUAGAGGGCUAGCAGAAUAUUUGGGGAAAUGAGAAAGUCUAAGGACUUUAAUCACAGAGGCUGCAUCUGAAUGUUUCAAGUCCACAAACCUUAGGUGGUUCCUUUAAGAAGUGGAGGAGCUGCAGCUUCCUGGAUGUGGAAGAAUGGCCCGCCUCUACCCUCUGUCGCGAUUGUGGUACUCUAAGCCACGCCAAGGGUGGGGAUAGUUUCUGGGUGGGACUGCGCCUGCGCCGCCUGGAAGCUCCUCCUACGCUUGCGCUGUAGGAACUUCCCAGGGUCCUGCGCGUGCGUACCGCCGCCGGGGGCCCCACCUCUCACAGCUCCGGGCUGAGACAUGGUACUGUCGGAACUGGCGGUGCGCCUCAAUUGCGCUGAGUACAAAAACUGGGUGAAGGCAGGACACUGCCUGCUGCUGCUGCGCAGCUGUCUGCAGGGCUUCAUCCGCCGCGAGGUCCUCUCCUUCCAUCGCGGACUGCUCGCUACAGUCCCUGGCCUUGGUCCCCACGCCAUCUGCCGCGGUGGUUCCCGGUGCAGCCCGCGCGCCCGCCAGUUUCAGCCUCAGUGUGUGGUGUGCACAGAGUGGAAACGUGAGAUCUUGAGGCAUCAUGUCAACAGAAAUGGAGAUGUGCAUUGGGGAAACUGCCGGCCUGGCCUCUGGCCCGUGGACGCUUGGGAGGUAGCCAAGGCCUUCAUGCCUCGAGGACUGGCAGACAAACGAGGACCUGAGGAAUGUGAUGCGGUUGCUCUUUUAAGUCUCAUCAAUUGCUGUGAUCACUUCGUGGUUGAUCGGAAGAAAGUCACAGAGGUAAUUAAGUGUCGGAAUGAGAUAAUGCACUCUUCAGAGAUGAAAGUAUCGUCUACAUGGCUUCAAAAUUUUCAGAUAAAGAUCCAAAAUUUUCUGAAUGAAUUCAAGAAUAUUCCAGAGAUUGAAGCAGUACAUUCCAGAAUAGAACAGCUGUUGACAUCUGACUGGGCUGUUCAUGUUCCUGAGGAAGAUGAACGAGAUGGGUGUGAAUUUGAAAUAGGAAGUUACUUGAGUAUGAGCCAAAUCCAUGAAAUUGAAAUGGAAUUGCUGAAGGAAAAACUGCAAGAUAUGUAUCUUCAAGCAGCAGAAGAAGAGGUGUUGCCCGAAGAGCUCUCAAAUCGACUGGAUGCGGUCAAGGAGUUUUUGAAAAACAACACAGACCUCAGAAAUGGCCUUACAGAAGACAUGCAGAAGCUAGACAGUUGCCAUCUACAGCAUCAAAAACAAAUUUCAAAGGACACUGAGAGUCAGACACCUGAAAGGAAGGCUUGAGUGCUGCGACACCUGCCAUGGUCACUUCAGUCGAAGGAAUGCCAACGACGGCCAAGCUGCCAGCCAACAAUGGAGCACCGAAUGCCGACCUCGUUGCUGACCCUGAUGAAGCAACAGCCAGCAGCAGCUUUUGUGCCUCUGCCGUAAAGCAUGCAGGGUCCCACAGGGUCCACGAGCUGCUCACACACUGCUGCCAUGCUCAGCUGAUGCGGGUCUAUUGGCAUGGAAGGACAUGGCUGCCUGUAUCCCGUCGUUCUUCCCAUACCUGAACCCACGCAGACAGGGCACUGAGGUCUCUACGAGCUACCCAGCCUACUUCUCCCCAACUGUCUAAAAGAGACUGUUACUUGUUUCCUCUGGCCUAUAACUCCAUGACAAUUCAGUUUCUCAACCAGAACACUAUGCAACUGAGGAUGGCCUUAAACUGCUGAUCCUUCUGCUUUCACCUUUUGAGAGAUUAUUGAAUCGGCGGAGAGGUUUAUUGGGGCACAAAAACCUUUCAUCUGGCGGUCCCACCGAGAAGGCUGUUUUUCCCAUUGACACAGAGCCACAGGUUGGGAAAAUAUCCUCCCUUGUACCUGCUCUCCGUCAGGCUAAGAUCAGCUUCCUCUGGGUAAGUUCCAAUUUCCUUCAGAGGCCCAGGGCAUCAUACAAUUUUCAGGCUGUCCUGUUGAAGACAUGGCCAUACCAGGUGCCCGACCUGACUAGAACAAGGGCCUGCCUUGUCCCUGUGGGAUUCCUUUAUCAGAUGUCCUGUUAAGGUUAUUUCUCAUACCCCUCUGUUUUUUGACCCAAAACCUACCACAGUGAAUGCAUUGCGUUAGGCUUUGGGUUUGGCAUAGACUUGUGAAACGGGUACCUAGAAUUUGAGGCCUGAUUCUCAAAUGCCCUUGGGCUGCCUUUUACAAAAUCUUUUUAAGAUAGGCGCUAUCUGACACCAUAUGUCCUUAACACCUCAGUUUUUUACCAGCAUGUAAACAAGUAAAUAAGCCCCCAUAUGCCCAUGGUUUCUGGAUGCUGUGCCCCCCCAAACCCCUUCCCUGCUUCUCUCACUGCUUGCUGUCUGCAUUCCUGGCAUGUGAUCUGGUCAUGCUGGGAUUCUCCCAUUCCCCCUGCCCUCACACUCUAAGCUGCAUAGGUGUUCCAUUCUUAGUUUCUGUUCUCCCUCACAGAUCUGUUGAUUUGGCCCUCAAUGGGACCACCUGUGUGCUUGCUGGCUUCUGCAGCCUACACCAGGAUUUUAAGUUGCUCAGCUGACUACAGUUUCCUGGGAAAAGUUUUGUCUAUCUGUUAAUAUAUAUGUAUAAAUAAUGUGGCCACAGUAUUCUUGUUUUAUGUCUGUGUGUGUAUGUUUGUUUUAAAAUCUGUAAAACUUGUAACUCUAGAUUACAACAGCUCUGGAAAAAGACAAACAUGGAUAGCUGCCUUUUUGGUUGAGGUCAAAGUAAAAACCUCAGCGCCAUCUUUGCUAAGAGUACCCACAUUGCUGGCCCUACCAAGGAGACAUUCUGGCUCCAGUAUAUUUUGACUUACUAAAAUAUUCCUUCUAAUCUUCUUGCCUUCACUGACACUGAUAAGCUGUAACUGAUUUGGGUAAGCUAUAUGUCUAAAUUUAAUUUAUAUGUCUAAUUUAGAUAUACCUAGCAGGUAAUGGUACCCUGAUUCUCAAGUGCCUAUACAGAUCUGAGAGUAUGGGAUUUAACAACAGAGAGACAUACUAGCUCCUACAGCAUCCUAUAGCUCCUCCAAGACGGUGCAUGGUUGCAGAAGACCUUCUGCUUAGAGGCUUACCUUUGAAUAUGGCUGCCUUUCACCUCUUCAACUUCCUGGACAGUACACGGAUGGGGGGGGGAUCGAUUAUCUCACCCUGCCAAGACAGGUAAACUGAGCCCUACCCCCACAGGAAAAUCUGUCAAGUCUCCGGGGCUUAGCAGCUAAAGGCAAGUACUUCUUCUAAGACUGGUGUUCACCAAGGACCACAGAGAGACUUGGGAUUGUCUGGGUAGCUGGAAAAGCUGUCUCACUUCUACUCAUUUAUUUAUCCCUCUCAGAUCUGUCUGAGGGCAUCUGAUGACUUACGGUACUGGUAACUAUUUACUUUAUUAGUUAAGUUUCCUAUAAAAAAAAAUACAGACAGGUGUGCCUCUUUCACAGACUUCAUAGUCCAGGAUUAACAGGUUUCAGGUGUAUCUUCAGAGGUUCAGAGUUUCCAAUUUCCUUUAAUUGUCUUCUAAAGUGUUCAUGCCUUUUAACCUAAAGCCAUAGACUUUUGCUAUGACUCCAAGAUGUAAAUCUGUCCCAAUUGUCUUACAGAUACCUGCAGGUUUUGUUUUUUU